rnacentral:rRNA from 1 species
GAGGCAGCAGUGGGGAAUAUUGGACAAUGGGCGAAAGCCUGAUCCAGCGACGCCGCGUGAGUGAAGAAGUAUUUCGGUAUGUAAAGCUCUAUCAGCAGGGAAGAAAAUGACGGUACCUGACUAAGAAGCCCCGGCUAACUACGUGCCAGCAGCCGCGGUAAUACGUAGGGGGCAAGCGUUAUCCGGAUUUACUGGGUGUAAAGGGAGCGUAGACGGUUAAGCAAGUCUGAAGUGAAAGCCCGGGGCUCAACCCCGGUACUGCUUUGGAAACUGUUUGACUUGAGUGCAGGAGAGGUAAGUGGAAUUCCUAGUGUAGCGGUGAAAUGCGUAGAUAUUAGGAGGAACACCAGUGGCGAAGGCGGCUUACUGGACUGUAACUGACGUUGAGGCUCGAAAGCGUGGGG